AUUGAACGCUGGCGGCAUGCCUUACACAUGCAAGUCGAACGGCAGCACGGGAGCAAUCCUGGUGGCGAGUGGCGAACGGGUGAGUAAUAUAUCGGAACGUGCCCAGUCGUGGGGGAUAACGUAGCGAAAGCUACGCUAAUACCGCAUACGAUCUAUGGAUGAAAGCGGGGGGUCGCAAGACCUCGCGCGAUUGGAGCGGCCGAUAUCAGAUUAGGUAGUUGGUGAGGUAAAGGCUCACCAAGCCGACGAUCUGUAGCUGGUCUGAGAGGACGACCAGCCACACUGGAACUGAGACACGGUCCAGACUCCUACGGGAGGCAGCAGUGGGGAAUUUUGGACAAUGGGCGCAAGCCUGAUCCAGCAAUGCCGCGUGCAGGAUGAAGGCCUUCGGGUUGUAAACUGCUUUUGUACGGAACGAAACGGUGAGCUCUAAUACAGUUUGCUAAUGACGGUACCGUAAGAAUAAGCACCGGCUAACUACGUGCCAGCAGCCGCGGUAA
rnacentral:rRNA from 1 species